UGUAACAUUGAUAUAUUACAAUAUAUCCGCCUGCGUACAGGUGUGAGUGUGCGUGUCGUGACCCGUAGAAAACUCAAGUGCACACACGUCGGUUUUCUUUUUGCUUUUUUUAAAAAAACAUCUUCCCGGCGGUGUUUCUAUACUCCUUUAUACCGAUUAUGAGAAGCGACAAAGUUGCGGACACGCGCAUAUGCACACAACCGAUUUGAUCGCCGGCAGUUGACAGUGUACUGUAGCCAUCACUCAUGUCACGAAGUUGAAAAAUAAUAAAAUCCACCUGCAGCAGAUCAGGUCUAAUUGCAUUUGAGCUAUGGCAUUUUACUAAAUAUAAGUGUAAUCAGGAUCGGAUUGGGUACCUCACCGCUGCAAUUGACCGAAAAAAAGCCUUGGAAACAGGCCGUAACUCAUACCUAAUAAUUAUUUACUUACAUUUGAUGGUUUAUUUGUUUCCACCAAAAAUGGCCACAACUAUCAUGUAUAUACUUGAUUAUAAUACU